AUUGAACGCUGGCGGCAGGCCUAACACAUGCAAGUCGAGCGGAGCGGCGGACGGGUGAGUAAUGCCUAGGAAUCUGCCUGGUAGUGGGGGAUAACGUCCGGAAACGGGCCCUAAUACCGCAUACUAUCAGAUGAGCCUAGGUCGGAUUAGGUAGUUGGUGGGGUAAGGGCCUAACAAGGCGACGAUCCGUAACUGGGCUGGGAGGAUGAUCAGUCACCCGGGAACGUAGACACGGUCCGACGUCCCACGGGAGGAAGCAGUGGGGAAUAUGGGACAAUGGGCGAAAGCCUGAUCCAGCCAUGCCGCGUGUGUGAAUAAGGUCUUCGGAUUGUAAAGCACUUUAAGUUGGGAGGCGUUACCAACAGAAUAAGCACCGGCUAACUUCGUGCCAGCAGCCGCGGUAAUUC
rnacentral:rRNA from 1 species